CUCAUAUUAAAAAUCCUUAUCACUUAAUCUAUUAAUUUAUAGCAGCUCCUAUGAAUGUAUUUGCCCACAUGUCCAUGUGGCUUCCAGUUGCUCCUUUAUACCUGACAAAUAGGAGCAAUUAAAACCUGGAGGUGAUCAACUGCAUUUCCACUUGAGGUGAUCAACCUCCUUCCUCUUGACACUGGGACAAAAUCUCAACAUUCAGGUAAUUCCAGUCCCACACAACAAGUGCAUGGGAGGAACAGGAGGGAGGGAGGAGGUGCUUGAUGUAAGUUAAAACCUCUGUCCAAAUUAAUGGGGGAAAAAAAUCAAUGCAUCAGAAUCAACGGGGCGUGUAGAUCCCUACAGAAGGUAAUGCAAUGGGUUUGCACGUCCCUGUAGAAACAUGUGCAGCUCCACCAAGGCAAUGACAGCUCUGGGCUGGGGCACAUACAAGGUGCUGCCUGGGCUGGAUUUGGGGGAAAAUAUCCAAGCAAACCCCAGAUUUCCUAAGUUUUUGUGUGGCACAUGUACUUAUCAGUGACAUUCCUACCCUUGAUCAAGGCUAGCACUGCGUACUCCCAGCACUGUCUGUUUCAGCCUCUCCAGAUGCAGGAAAUCUUCCCUCCCCUCUCCCACUGAGUCUGACUCAGAAAUUGUUUGAAAAUCCCAGUUUUCUGACAUCUCCUGGCUGUUCCCCUCUGGGUAAUGGGAAGCUGAAGGCAAAGCAAACAAAGGAGUCCUUAUGCUCGGGAGAGCUGGCGGAUGGCAGUGGCACCUCCUCCUCUCCUCCUGCUGCUGUGGUGGGGAUCCGGCCUCAUUGUCUGAACAGCUCCAGGCAUGGUGUCUGUGCAAGAAGGACGUGUGUGAUGGGGGCUUCGAGGAAGGGGAGUGGUAUGGAUGAAGUGUCCAUGAUCGGGCUGUGCUCCUCCUGCCCCCACUCCCAGGGUGCUCAAUGCUCGCUGUGCUAAUUGCUGUGCCUUUGCACUUAGGAGAAGGACCUUGCCGAGGAUGACUCCACCAGCACAAUCCACCAAUCUAUCACCUCCCAGAAUCCCACAUGAGAAGCCUGGAGAUCAGACAGGGAACUACAAAUCCCAUGGCUGUGCUGGAGCCCCAGGAGGACAGAGGAUGGAGAAGAGGACAUUAGAGACAGGUGAGAUAUCCAGCCUCCCCAGCUGCUGAAUACAGGGAGAGCCUGCAAUAGAGCAGAGCAGCAGGGCAAACUACACAGAUGGCAGAGAGACUACUGAUCUCCCAACGUUCCUUCCAGUAUGGAUGCCUAGGACCUUCUCACUCUGGUAAAUUCAUGCCCAUCAUUUCCAGACUUUGCAGAGGUGAGAGCUGUUUUCAUGCCUCGCUUCUUAUGUUGAGUUGCUGACGCGACGCUAAGUGAAGCUUUUCCUCCAGCUCCUUCCAGGGGAUGUUCCGGCAGUGAAGAGAUGCUCUGGACCCUCA
rnacentral:lncRNA from 1 species